UUGACAGCCCUGAGGAAUGAAGGCCUCUCUUUAGCAGCUACGCAUGCACAGCAAUGGAAAGCAGCAGUGCAAGCUUCCCCCUCACUGUCCUGCCAAGGGCCUCAGUCCCCAUACAGAGAAAAUGCUUCUGAGGGCAAGAGAGAAGUUUGGUUUUGGAGGCCCAUUCAGUCCUUGGCCUCU
rnacentral:sRNA from 1 species